ensembl:lncRNA
CUGCGUAUUGAAACAGGUCAGAUCAGGGAUAUUGUCUCUGCGUAUUGAAACAGGUCAGAUCAGGGAUAUUGUCUCUGCAUAUUGAAACAGGUCAGAUCAGGGAUAUCGUCUCUACCCAUUGAAACAGGUCAGAUCAGGGAUAUUGUCUCUGCGUAUUGAAACAGGUCAGACCAGUGUUAUUGUCUCUGCGUAUUGAAACAGGUCAGAUCAGGGAUAUUGUCUCUGCAUAUUGAAACAGGUCAGAUCAGGGAUAUUGUCUCUGCAUAUUGAAACAGGUAAGAUCAGGGAUAUUGUCUCUGCAUAUUGAAACAGGUCAGAUCAGGGAUAUUGUCUCUGCGUAUUGAAACAGGUCAGAUCAGGGUUAUUGUCUCUGCGUAUUGAAACAGGUC